UACGUAGGGCGCAAGCGUUGUCCGGAAUUAUUGGGCGUAAAGAGCUCGUAGGCGGUCUGUCGCGUCCGUUGUGAAAACUCGAGGCUCAACCUCGGGCUUGCAGUGGAUACGGGCAGACUAGAGUGCGGUAGGGGAGACUGGAAUUCCUGGUGUAGCGGUGGAAUGCGCAGAUAUCAGGAGGAACACCGGUGGCGAAGGCGGGUCUCUGGGCCGUAACUGACGCUGAGGAGCGAAAGCGUGGGGAGCGAACAGG
rnacentral:rRNA from 1 species